CGACCGCCGCACGCCCAUUGUACUUCAUCAGGUGCUCUGGUGAUCAUAGUUCCAGGCGCUUGUUGGAGUACACUUACCGUGUCGGCGGUUA